AAAUACAAUGGAGAAAAAUCUUCAAGAGAUUCAAAUGCAUUUGAAUCUUAUGCAGCAGGAACUCCCAAUUUUACAGAAACAACUGGAUCAAGUAAAUGGUGUGACAUUACUCCAGGCAGAAGCUGGUCACAAGCGAAGGGUUGGAUGUGGGGAACAUACAUUGUCGGUAGCAGAAGGAGCUCUGCCGGUUGAAAAAUUCCAUCACCCGUUUUUGUUGAACAUACCUUUGAGAAAAAUGUUUGGCAUCAUUAAGCGAGGUAACAUUGACACAAAUUCAUCCAUUGCUACAUACAUAUUAGAUUUCUGUGUGCACCAAUGAAAUGCAAAGAAGACAAAACAUAAUGGAGAUACGUGGAAUUAGUUUAGAUUAGUUUAUUAUUUUCACGUGUGCAGGGAAAAGCUUUUUUUUGGUAGAUUAAAUUAAAUAUUUAUCCUAGUCCCAAAACAAACCUGCAUGGAAACUGACUGUCAAAUCGUCAGCGGGCGACGUCAGGUCCAUGAACACAAGAACACAACACAACCUAAACUCACUUCAUGAGGGAACCACACAUCCUGUACAUAUUCACACUUCAUAAAUAUUCGGUCACAUGAAUUCAAAUCCCUGGGCAGCAGUGAAGCAACUUCAACCCAUUCAAUUAAUUCACUGGGUAUCCAAAGUUCAUAAGGUUGUAGUGGAUAGGAGCAGAAUU